CAUCUGCUGGCCGGGCUGGGUUCCCUCGCCCCCCUCGGGGUGCGGGUGGCUGAGCCCGCGGAGGGCCCGUUCGUGCUGGUGCGGAUGCC
rnacentral:tRNA from 1 species